AGUGAAUAGAUACCCGGGUAGUCCCAGCCGUAAACGAUGCUCGCUAGGUGUCAGGCAUGGCGCGACCGUGUCUGGUGCCGCAGGGGAAGCCGUGAAGCGAGCCACCUGGGAAGUACGGCCGCAAGGCUGAAACUUAAAGGAAUUGGCGGGGGAGCACAACAACGGGUGGAGCCUGCGGUUUAAUUGGACUCAACGCCGAACAACUCACCGGGGGCGACAGCAAUAUGUAGGCCAAGCUGAAGACUUUGCCUGAAUCGCUGAGAGGAGGUGCAUGGCCGUCGCCAGUUCGUACUGUGAAGCAUCCUGUUAAGUCAGGCAACGAGCGAGACCCGUGCCCACUGUUACCAGCAUGUCCUCCGGGACGAUGGGUACUCUGUGGGGACCGCCGAUGUUAAAUCGGAGGAAGGUGCGGGCCACGGUAGGUCAGUAUGCCCCGAAUCUCCCGGGCUACACGCGGGCUACAAUGGAUGGGACAAUGGGUCCCUCCCUGAAAGGGGCUGGUAAUCUCACAAACCCACUUCGUAGUUCGGAUCGAGGGCUGUAAC
rnacentral:rRNA from 1 species